AUUGAACGCUGGCGGCAUGCUUUACACAUGCAAGUCGAACGGCAGCACGGGUGCUUGCACCUGGUGGCGAGUGGCGGACGGGUGAGUAAUACAUCGGAACGUAUCCUAAAGUGGGGGAUAACGCAUCGAAAGAUGUGCUAAUACCGCAUACACUCUGAGGAGGAAAGUAGGGGAUCGAAAGACCUUAUGCUUUUGGAGCGGCCGAUGUCUGAUUAGCUAGUUGGUAAGGUAAUGGCUUACCAAGGCAACGAUCAGUAGUUGGUCUGAGAGGACGACCAGCCACACUGGGACUGAGACACGGCCCAGACUCCUACGGGAGGCAGCAGUGGGGAAUUUUGGACAAUGGGCGCAAGCCUGAUCCAGCAACGCCGCGUGAGUGAAGAAGGCCUUCGGGUUGUAAAGCUCUUUCAGUUGAGAAGAAAGAUUAGUGACUAAUAAUUAGCAAUUCAUGACGGUAUCAACAGAAGAAG
rnacentral:rRNA from 1 species